GCCGGCAGCUAGCUCUCUGCAAAGCUCACGUGGUCGCCCACUGAAGCUAAGCAGGACUGCGCCCGAUCAGUACCUGGAUUGGAGACCACAUGGGAAAGCUAGGUUGCUGCCAUAA
rnacentral:rRNA from 1 species